GAUCAUGGCUCAGGACGAACGCUGGCGGCGUGCUUAACACAUGCAAGUCGAACGGAGAGAUGAGGGAGCUUGCUCCUUUAGAUCUUAGUGGCGAACGGGUGAGUAACGCGUAAUCAACCUGCCCUUUUGUGGGGGACAACAGAUGGAAACGUCUGCUAAUACCGCAUACGUUCCUGUGGUCGCAUGACUAUAGGAAGAAAGGUGGCCUCUAUUUAUAAGCUAUCGCAAAAGGAGGGG
rnacentral:rRNA from 1 species